CCUCGGGGGAAUUGCCUUAGUACGGCGAGUGAAGCGGCAAAAGCUCAAAUUUGAAAUCUGGCACCUUCGGUGUCCGAGUUGUAAUUUGAAGAAGGUAACUUUGGAGUUGGCUCUUGUCUAUGUUCCUUGGAACAGGACGUCACAGAGGGUGAGAAUCCCGUGCGAUGAGAUGCCCAAUUCUAUGUAAAGUGCUUUCGAAGAGUCGAGUUGUUUGGGAAUGCAGCUCUAAGUGGGUGGUAAAUUCCAUCUAAAGCUAAAUAUUGGCGAGAGACCGAUAGCGAACAAGUACAGUGAUGGAAAGAUGAAAAGAACUUUGAAAAGAGAGUGAAAAAGUACGUGAAAUUGUUGAAAGGGAAGGGCUUGAGAUCAGACUUGGUAUUUUGCGAUCCUUUCCUUCUUGGUUGGGUUCCUCGCAGCUUACUGGGCCAGCAUCGGUUUGGAUGGUAGGAUAAUGACUAAGGAAUGUGGCUCUACUUCGGUGGAGUGUUAUAGCCUUGGUUGAUACUGCCUGUCUAGACCGAGGACUGCGUCUUUUGACUAGGAUGUUGGCAUAAUGAUCUUAAGCCACCCGUCUUAAAAAGGGGGACCAAAAAAAAAAUAUAAAAAAAAAAAAAAAAAAAAAAACAGAAGAAGGGAGAGGGUUUGGUGCCUGAUGAGCCUCACAGCGCCAUGGAGAGCAGUCAGGGG
rnacentral:rRNA from 1 species